UUCUAACUUCACCGAGGUGCCCAUCUCUAGUUGCAAUAGCAAAAUGGCCGUUACGUUAACGGUCCUUUUAUGUGACCCGUCUGUAAAUUUUAUAUUGUAUGGUGGAUUCGUGAUUCGGUUAGUAUUAAAACGAUUAAAAUGUCUCGGGGGCGAACGUUGAACUGAAUGCAAGAGAAACGUCUUCACCUUCACCGAGGUGCUUUGCUUUAGAAACUUUGAGGUUAUGUACCGCUGUUAAAACUUGUGAUUUUAUUAAAGUUGAAGUGUUUCGGAGGUAGUGAUUGUUUUUUCGUGAUAUUCACCGACCUAUAGUGUAGUGUCAGUUAAUUUUUGUGCGAUCAUAUGCUAUGAGAACUCAAUUUAUGUGUUAUUUUGUGUCACAACCACGUGGUUGGCUGUGUUCAAAUCUACUGUCUGAAGUCCCUGAUAUUGUUACUGAAAUGUUCAGAAGAUUGCAUGAAUGGUUAUAAGAUGUACCUACCAUAGACGAGGCGGCAGGAAUAAGAUUUCUCAGCUAUUGUGAAGAAACUAAAUUUCUGGUUAAGAAUAAAAGCAAAAAUUAAAAUGAUAAUGUAAAUAAUAACCGGAACAAAACUUACAUUUUGGUAGUUGUCAUUGAUUCAUGGGGGCUGCCGGUGGAUUUGCUGGGACUGGUUUCCAGUAGGGGUUCGAAGACAUUGGUUGGGACGGUGGCUUCGAUAAUUUAUAAUUUGAGUCGCAGCAAUGCAAUUUCAGGAUGUCUUUUUAUGCAAAAAUAAAUGGUAGACGUAUUAAAUAUUAUUAAUUUACUAAUGACGAAAAAUAAUUAAUGAUAUAAAAAUAUUAGCUAAAAAAACAUAAAUACAGUCAAACUUCCAUAAUUCGAACCGUCAUCUGCCACUAAAAAUAGUUCGAAAUAUCAAGACUUCGAGUUAUCGAACUUAAAUAAAAGAUACAGUAAUGUUGAAAGAGUUUAUUAUAAUAAAUAAGAUACUUUAAUAUGUAUUGAUUUAAUAUUUUAUUUAGAAACAAAAUAUUGAGUGAUUUGCGAUUGAGUCAGGGGUUGUUUAUUUUGAUUUUCAAAAACGAUUCAACCUUAUUAAAAAUGUCGUAAUAUUUUUAUUAUUCUGCAAAUAUAAAUUUUAGAUAUUCAAAGAAUUUGCAACCGAAUACUUUGGAAUUAGCUGUGUAUCAUCGUCAUCGUCACUUAAGUGUUUUUUUUUUCGUCAAUAAUGUGGGUUGCUAAGCUUGCAGGAUUCGACGGGUCAGUGAAGUUAACACCCCCACUUAAGAAUUUUUAAAUACAGG